UGGUGAUUCCAAACCUACUUAUACAAA
rnacentral:piRNA from 1 species